rnacentral:rRNA from 1 species
GUAUGGGGGGUGGGAUAGACUGCUAGUCGAGCGCCUCCCAGCCACGACGGAGGCGCGGCGCACAGCUCAGUAACACGUGGCUAACCUGCCCUUGGGACAGAGACACCCCCGGGAAACUGGGGCUAAUCCCUGAUAGGCGAAGAACUCUGGAAUGAGUCUUCACCCAAAAGACGCCUAGGCCACGCUUCUAGACGUCGCCCAAGGAUGGGGCCGCGACCGAUCAGGUUGUUGGUGAGGUAACGGCCCACCAAGCCUUUUACCGGUACGGGCCGUGAGAGCGGGAGCCCGGAGAUGGGCACUGAGACAAGGGCCCAGGCCCUACGGGGCGCAGCAGUCGCGCAAACUUUGCAAUACACGAAAGUGUGACAGGGCUAUCCCGAGUGCCGUCCGCUGAGGGUGGCUUUUACCCAGUCUAGAAAGCUGGGAGAAUAAGGAGAGGGCAAGUCUGGUGUCAGCCGCCGCGGUAAUACCAGCUCUCCGAGUGGUGUGGAUGUUUAUUGGGCCUAAAGCAUCCGCAGCUGGCUGAUCAAGUCCCCUGUUAAACCCAACGAAUCAAUCGUUGGAUUGCGGGGGAUACUGCUCGGCUAGGGGACGAGAGAGGCCGACGGUAUUUUCGGGGUAGGGGUGAAAUCCUAUAAUCCCGGGAAGACCACCAGUGGCGAAGGCUGUCGGCUAGAACGCGCCCAACGGUGAGGGAUGAAAGCUGGGGGAGCGAACCGGAUUAGAUACCCGGGUAGUCCCAGCUGUAAACGAUGCAGGCUAGGUGUUUGGGCGGCCACGCGCCGCUCUAGUGCCGCAGGGAAGCUGUUAAGCCUGCCGCCUGGGGAGUACGGCCGCAAAGGCUGAAACUUAAAGGAAUUGGCGGGGGAGCACCACAAGGGGUGAAGCUUGCGGUUUAAUUGGAGUCAACGCCGGG